rnacentral:rRNA from 1 species
UACGGAAGGUCCAGGUGUUAUCCGGAUUUAUUGGGUUUAAAGGGAGCGUAGGCCGCAUAUUAAGUGUGUUGUGAAAAGCAGUCGCCCAACGUCUGUCUUGCAGCGCAAACUGGUGUGCUUGAGUACGCACAACGCAGGCGGAAUUCGUCGUGUAGCGGUGAAAUGCUUAGAUAUGACGAAGAACUCCGAUUGCGAAGGCAGCUUGCGGGAGCGCAACUGACGCUGAAGCUCGAAAGUGCGGGUAUCGAACAGG